CUCCUCCCAGCACAGGAUCAUCACCUGUUAGACAGAGAGAGAGACCUGUGUGUGACAAUGGGAGUUCUUAUAGCAUUAUCAGUGUUGCUGGGAACAUUAUCUUAUGGUCGCUGUGAUGAACUCAUACAGCCAGGCUCUAUGGUUGUAAAACUAGGAGAGACUUUAUCUGUCUCCUGUAAAGUGUCAUAUUCACUGAGCAGCUAUAAUACUCACUGGAUCCGACAGCCUGCAGGGAAAGCACUGGAGUGGAUUGGGUAUAUAGCAUCGGGUGGUGGCGCUGCUUAUAAAGAUUCACUAAAGAGCAAGUUCACCAUCACCAGAGACACCUCCAGUAACACAGUGUUUUUACGAGGGAGCAGCCUGCAGACUGGAGACACAGCUGUGUAUUACUGUGCCCGAGAGUCACAGUGCAGCAAAGCAACGGCGGACCUGUACAAAAACAUACCCUGAUGAGUGUAAUGGUAGACAUUUAAGAGCUCUGUGAAGUUUGCACCCCACAUGAUCAGAAUGUGAAUUAAAAUAUUUUCAUCCA